UUUAACUAUUGCGACCAGAGGCUGAUGAUCUGUGUGAAAAGUCACAUUGGGCAUGCCCCAGAUGUAUUUUGCAAAUUUCUCUGCAGCAAAGACAAGGGCAAGUAACUCCUUUUCACACUGGGCAUACAGCUUUUCUGUUUCAGUUAGUGCCCUUGAUGCCAUUGCCACAGGCUUGCCAUUCUGAAGGAGCACACACCCAAUUCCAUUCUGACUGGCAUCUGCUUGUAUAACUAUAGGAAGUUUACUGUCAAAUGUGGCCAGGACCGGUGCUUUUUUUAUACUCUCUUUUAGAGUUUUAAAAGCUUCUGAGUGAGCUGGUAGCCACUGAAAUUUUACCAUUGGAGAAAGUAAUUUAUAGAGUGGGGCUGCAAUUUGACCCAUUUGAGGUAUGAAGUUUCUGAGAUAAUUAAAAGUUCCCAUAGUUUUGUGCAACUGAGUUCUCGUAGUGGGUUCUUUGAUUGCAUCUACUGCCCGCACCCUUUCAGGGUCUACCUUAGCAGAGUUCUCUGACCAUAAUUGACCUAGAAACUUAACUUCAGGUUUUCUAUAUUGUAUUUUUGAAGGAUUAAACCUUAUGUUUUCAUCUUUAGCCCUUUCCAUGACAGACUUCAGGAUUUUAUCAUGCUCCACUGCGUUUUGACCUGGGAUAAGUAUAUCAUCAAAAUAAACCACGCCCCCAGUGCCCUCGAACGCCUGUUCAGUCAAGAACUGAAAGGUUUCAGGUGCACUUGAUAUGCCAAACGGCAUCUUUAAAAAUUUGUAUAAGCCAAAGGGGGUGCUGAAACAUGUCAGCUCAGUGGAAGGCCCAUCCAGGGCAGCAUGCCAGAAGCCGUCUUUGAGAUCUAGCACAGAGAAUAUUUUCUUGUUUUUAACUCUAAUUUUCAAUUCCUCUAUUGUGGGAAUGUUAUAAUGUUGUCUCACUAUGGCUUUAUUUAGAUGCUCUGGGUCAAGGCAAAUUCGUAUGUCCCCAUUUGCCUUUUCCCUCAGCAACAUAUUACUAACAUAUUUGGGUAUUUGAUCUUUAACUUUGGCUACUAUGCCUGUCUUUUCCAGGUCAGCCAGUUUGCUUUCCAACUUCUUUAGAGUUGAAAAGUGAUACCUUCUGGGAGGGCAAGCCCCAGGCUGAGCAUUUGGAUCAACAUUUAUUUUGACUACCUGCUUAAACUGUCCCAGUCCGUUGAACUGUUCGGGAUACAUUUUCUUAAAUGCUUCACAAUUUUCUGUGGACAACAUAUGCACACACACUGAACUCACCUGUGACUUAGCUGGUGAAGACUGUGAAGCUGAUGAGUUCCAGCCGCCCCGAAGCAAGUCUUCCUCUUCCUCGCUGCCCAGAUCCAGGGUCUCAACUGCGUCGACUGACUUCUUCACCUUCUGGUCCCUGGAGUUGGAUGAAUCCCGAGGCCUGGGCCGUAUCAACCUCAGCAACCUUCUGCUCAGUCUGGUUGGAGUAUCUGGAAGUGGCCUCAACCGCCUUGCAUAUCUCGAUGAUCUCAUCCAGUUUUAGGCUUGCCUUGGCUCUAAUGUUGACAC